rnacentral:rRNA from 1 species
CCUACGGGUGGCUGCAGUAGGGAAUUUUGCGCAAUGGGCGAAAGCCUGACGCAGCAACGCCGCGUGAUCGAUACGCCCUUCGGGUUGUAAAGAUCUGUCAGUGGGACGAAACUUGACGGUACCCACAGAGGAAGCACCGGCUAACUCCGUGCCAGCAGCCGCGGUAAUACGGGGGGUGCAAGCGUUGUCCGGAAUCAUUGGGCGUAAAGAGUUCGUAGGCGGAGGUGCAAGUCAGCGGUCAAAUUGCGGGGCUCAACCCCGUCCUGCCGUUGAAACUGCAUCCCUUGAGUGCGCGAGAAGUAUGCGGAAUGCGUGGUGUAGCGGUGAAAUGCAUAGAUAUCACGCAGAACUCCGAUUGCGAAGACAGCAUGCCGGCGCGCCACUGACGCUCAUGCACGAAAGCGUGGGUAUCGAACAGGAUUAGAUACCCGAGUAGUC